rnacentral:lncRNA from 10 species
UUUCCCUGUAUCCCUUGUAAAGAAUAAUUAACCAGAGAGUUUCCCCGUACCCCUUGUUCCCACACGUCUGACCUACUCCACUGUGAACAUGACAUACUACAGUGAUACAUUUGCUAAAAUCAAUGAACCUAAGUUAACAAAUCAUUAUUACCCAAAGUUGAGAGUUUAGGGUUCAUUCUCGCUGUUGUUCCUUCUAUAGAUUUUGACAAUACAUAAUGGUAUGUAUCCACCAUUGUAGUAUCAGUAAUAUCAGUAAUACAGUAUUACUGUAGUACAGAAUAGUUUCAUGCCCUAAAGAUCUUCUGUGCUCUACCUAUUUAUCCCUCCUCCCCACUAACUCCUAGAGGAGUCUUUUUACUGAUCUUUUUACUGUCUUCAUAAUUUGGCCUUUUCCAGAAUGUCAUAUAGUUGGACUAAUACAAUAUGUAGCCUUUUCAGAUCGGCUUCUUUCAGUUAGUAAUGAAUUUAAAGUUCGCUUAUACAUUUAAAGUUCUUCCAUGUAUUUUUAUGGCUUGGUAGAGCUAUCUAUCUUUUUUUAAGUGCUUAAAAAUAUUCCAUUGCUUGGAUGUGUCACAUUUUAUUUAUCUAGUCUAUUGAAGGAUAGCUUGCUUGUUUCUAAGUUUAGGAAUUUUUAAAUAAACCUCUCAUAUAAAUUGGUGUGAAGGGUUUUGUGCAGACAAACAUUUUAACUCAUUUAGGUAAAUACCAAAGAUUAUGUUUGCUGGAUCACAGGGUAAGAGUAUGUUUUGUUUUGUAAGAAACAAACUAACUUCUUUUUUUUUUCUUUUUAUUAUACUUUAAGUUCUAGGGUACAUGUGCACAACGUGCAGGUUUGUUACAUAUGUAUACAUGUGCCAUGUUGGUGUGCUGCACCCAUUAACUCAUCAUUUACAUUGGGUAUAUCUCCUAAUGCUUUCCCUCCCCUUAACUUCUAAAGUGGCUGUAACAUUUUGCAUUCCCACCAGCAAUAAACGAGAGUUCCUGUAACUCCACAUCCUUGCCAGCAUUGGUGCUGUCAGUGUUCUGAACUUUGACCAAUCUAAUAGGUAUGUAGCCGUAUCUCGUUGUUUUAAUUUGCAUUUCUCUGAUAUACAUUAGGGAUCAUCUGUUCAUAUGGUUACCCACUGCCUUAUAUUUUCUUUUGUAAAAUGUCUGUGAAGGUAUUUGGCCCAUUUUUUUAAUCAAGGCAUUUGUUUUCUUAUUGUGGAGUUCUUUGUAUAUUUUGGAUAACAGUCCUUUAUCAGGUGUGUCUUUUGCAAAUAUUUUCUCCCAUUCUGUGGCUUGCAUUCUCAUUCUUUUGGCAUUACCUUUCACUGAUCAGAAGUUUUUAAUUUUAAUAAAAUUUAGCUUAUCAAUUAUAUAAUAUCCAGGUUAUUUCUUUCAUGCUUUUGACUGCAUAUAUAAAUUCAUCUUCACACCCAAGAUCAUCUAAAUUUCUUCUGUUACCUUCUCGAAGUUUUACAGGUUUGUGUUUUACAUUUAGGUCUGUAAUUUAGUUUGAGUUAAUUUUUGUAAAGGGUGUAAGAGCUAUGUCUAGACUCAUUUUUCUGCACGCGAAGGUCCAAUUGUUCUAGUACCAUUUGUUGAAGAGACUAUUUUUGUUCAGUUGUGUUGCCCUUGCUCAUUUGUCAAAAAUCAAUUGACUACAUUUAUGUGGGUCUAUUUAUGAGCUUUCUGUUGAUCCUUUUUUUUUUUUUUUGGCCAAUACCACAUUGUCUUGAUCACUGUGGCUUCAUAGUAAGUCUUGAACUCAAGUGAUUUCAGUCCUCUUGCUCUAUUCUUUCCCUUCGAUAUUGGGUUUGCUAUUCUGAGUCGUUUGUUUUUUCAUAGGAAGUUUCAAAUUACUUUGUUGAUAUCCACAAAAUAACUUCCUGGGAUUUUGAUUGGAAUUGCAUUAGAACAAGCUGGGACGCACUGACAUCUUGACAAUAUUGAGUUCUCCUCUUCAUGAACAUGGAUUAUCUCUUCAUUUAUUUAGUUCUUCUUUGAUACCUUUCAUCAGAGUUUUUGCUCUUCAUAUAGACCUUAUACAUAUUUUGAUAGAUUUAUAGCUAAAUAUUUCAUUUAUUUUGAUGCUAAUGUAAACAGCAAUAUGUUUUUAAUUUCAAAUGUCUCUUGUUCAUUACUGAUAUAUAGGAAAGCCACUGGACCUUUGUAUAUUAACCUUGUAUGCUACAACUUUGCUAUAAUUGCUUAUUGGUUCCAGGAGUUAUUUUGUCAAUUCUUUUAUAUUUUCUAUGUGUAUGAUCGUAAGAGGGUUUUUCAGAAAUAGAGCAGCUUAACAAUAAUAACAUUUUUUAAUGGUAAAAGUAAAAUGAUGCAUUACAGAAAACUUAGAACCUGGGGGAAAACUUAGUAUUUACUGAGUACUUACUAUGUGCCAGGAACUAUAUCAAGCACUUUAUUGGUAUCUUUUAAUUAAAUCCUGCUGACAACUUUUUGAUUUAGGUGCUUUUGUUCUCAUUUUAUACAUAGAAAAAUGGAUGUUCAGAGAGAACAACAAACAUGCCUCAAGAUACACAGCUAGUAUGUGGUAGUGACAAGAAUCUAGCACAAGCAGUCUGAUUUCAGGAUUCUGUAUCCAUCAUUGCACAAUGUAACUUCAACCAUUAUCUCCAAAAAGAAAGAUUUGGGCCAGGACUGGAGACAAGGACCCCUCUUUGGAAUCUGGUCAUGACUCCUGGCUGCUACGGCACAACUACUCCUGAUGCCUAAAUAUGGAAUCAAUGAAGCACCCACUGAACUCAUUUCAGCACUUCAUCUUUUUCCCUCCAGAAUGGCUCCUGUGCUAAUUGCAUCUGCUUCCCUCUUUGCAUCACAAUGGUAGUUUCUAUUUUGGAUUUUUAUCGUCUGUUGCAGCUUUGAGAAAUUCUUAUUCUGGUUCUGAUCCAGCCUUGGCUAUGUUUCAAAGACGCUAAAACCGCUAGUGAAGCUGGCCUCAUUUACCUUCUGGCACAAGUAUGCAUCUUUCCCAGAGUGAAAAACAGACUCCGUACCCACCCCUUAAAAACAAGUAGACAAGAAGGAAAGAGAAGUCUUGCUAGACUAUACCAGGGGUAAAGUUGGCGAGGAAUAAAACAAAUUUUAAAUCAAAUUCCUGUCGGGUGAAAUUAGCUCAAAUGAUGACCUUCAGAUUUUUUUCUAUUUCCAAAAUUAGAAAUUUUGGAAUCUGCUAAUCACUGUUGUUGUUCUGUAGGAACAUUUUAGAGUUUACAAUUAAAACAUGAAUAAUUUUUCUUCCAUAGCACAUGUCAUCAGAGAUUCUCAGUGGCCUCUCCACACUGUGUAAAGAAAAGCACAGCAGACGUACUCAGCCAGCUGCCUCUGAGGUAUCCAGAGAAAGGCCUUCUACUUAAGUACCUGUCCUAAUAAGGGUAUUUUGUAGGACAUAACAAUUUUUUAGAUAUCUCAUUUAAUCUCUAUUAUAACUUUGUAGCACGAUAGUCUCAUUAUUCCCGUUAUGCUGAUAUGUCAAAUCAAGUGUCAAAAAAUCAAAUAAGCAAUGUAGAAUACUUAGAAUAUGGUUAUCAUAAGGACCACAGAGAAAACCAAAGGAGGGAAAAGGGAUCAGAUUUCAGGUGAGCUACAUGUGAACACUCCAACAGCUGUGUAAGACACUUCCUCAUUUCUGAAAGGUCCAGGCCCUAAGGAGAUGCUGAGAAUUGUAUCCCUCUAAUAGAAAGUAAAAUCACCAUGUUCAAGGUAGAAUAAAUGGCAUAGUAGUAAACAUUGCUUAGGUGAAGUCCAAAUCUCUAGACUAGAGUGAAAUAGUAGAUCACACUAGAAAGAAUAGUUUGGUCCAGAUCACAUAUGACCCAAAAAAUUAGGUAGAAGAUUUUAGAUGUGAUUUAAUAAGUAGAAGAGUGUUUUAAAAAUUGAAAUCAUUUUAGGAUAACUCCUUUGGAAUUAUUUUUCAGAAUGACAAGAAGGGGACAAAGACUUCAAGUGGGAAAUUUAGAAGUUUGCAAUGGUUCACCUCUAAGAUAAUAAAGUUUUAAAAAGGGUAGCAUAAUGGAGACAGAGAUCCACCAUGAAGAACAUGUUAAAAGUCCUUUGGCAAUUGGUUAUUUGUGGGUAAACAGCAUGAGGGUGAACACAGAUAAACAAGGGUUUACCUCAAAUAGCUAGAUUUAAGAUGAAACUAAUGAUGUCUAAGCUUCAGGGCUUCUCAUUUGCAUAAAACCCUUCUAAGCCCCUGGCAGGGCUCCUACUGGUAUGAACAAGUGUUUCAAUUCAAACUAUGCAUCCAACAAAGGACUAAUAUCUACAAGGAACUUAAAUCAGCAAGAAAAAAAAUAAUAAUCCCAUUAAAAAGUGGGCUGAGGACAUGAAUGGACAUUUCUCAAAAGAAAAUAUACAAAUGGCCAACAAACAUUUGAAAAAAUGCUCUACGUCACUAAUCAUCAGGGAAAAUGCAAAUGAAAACCACAAUGAAAUACCACCUUACUCCUACAAAAAUGGCCAUAAUUAAAAAGGCAAAAACCAAUAGAUUUUGGUGUGCAUGUGGUGAAAAGGGAACACUUCUACACUGCUGGUGGGAAUGUAAAUUAGUGGAACCGCUAUGGAAAACAGUAUGGAGAUUCCUUAAGGAGCUAAAGUAGAACUACCAUUUGAUCCAGAAAUUUCACUACUGGGUAUCUACCCAAAGGAAAAUAGGUAAUUACAUGAAAAAAAACACAUGCACACACAUGCACAAUUCAAAAUUGCAAAGAUACGGCACCAUCCUAAGUGCCCAUCAACCAACAAAGGGAUAAAAAAAACCAAUGUACACAUAUACAUAUAUACACACCAUGGAAUACUACUCAGCCAUGAAAAUGAAUGAAAUGAUGUCUUUUGAGGCAACUUGGAUGGAACUGGAGGCCGUUAGUCUAAGAGAAGUAACUCAGUAAUAGAUAAAUAAAUAAAUAUAGUAUAUUCUAACUUCUAAGUGAGAACUAAGCUAUGAGGAUGCAAAGGCAUAAGAUGAUAUGAUGGACUUUGGGUACUUGGGGCAGAGGAAGGUUGGGAGAGAGGUAGGGGAUAAAAUACUACAUAUUGGGUACAGUAUAUACUGCUUGGUUGAUGGGUGCACUAAAAUCUCAGACAUCACCACUAAAGAACUUAUCCAUGUAACCAAAAACUAUCCCUACCCCCAAAAACUAUUGAAAUAAAAAUUAAAAAAAGAUUUAACCCCAUCUCCCCAAAAGAACACGUGUUGCAAUUGAAAGGGCAUUUAAUAUUAGUCACUUCGAAAGAAAAUAUGAAAUUCAGUGAAAGAACUUUGACAGAAGUUUUUCAGGUUUGACAAAAAUUUAUAAAACUUUUAUAACAUAUCCAUGAAUUAAGAAGCUGAAAAGACUCUAAUAAGCUAUUAAUAUCAACAACAAACUGCUAUUAAUAAUGCUAGAAAUAAGACUAGGAAAGAUAGAUAGAUAGACAGACAGAUAGAUAGAUAGAUAUUUUAUACAGAGAACACAAUGUAAGAAAAAAUACUAUAGAGCUG